CUGAAACGCAGGUGCGGCGGGGAAGAUGGCGGUAAGGCGAGUUUGUGCUGCUGGUCUCUCUGAAUUUUUAUUUUAUUUUUAUUUUUAAUUGUUUAUUACUAUUAUUGAUAUUAUUAUUACCUCUGUGGAUAGUUCUAGCGGACUACAGUGUAACAUUUGCAGUUUUGUACGAAGUUUAAAAAAAACAUCGUCCUCAUUAAGAAGCAGAUGGAUCUUGGGUCCUGUCUAUGUGUGUUAUGGGAGGAUGUGAAAUCGGUGACUCCUUCAGGCUUGUUUCAUGGGAAGCCGCCCGACUUCUGAUACACUUUUCCUCGGCAACUUUGCCGUUCCUGCCUUCCUUGAGAAUUCCUGGAGGUUGAAGCGAGGAGAUGGGAGUCCGUGACUUGUUGGCAAGUUGCUGUUUUUUCAGAGUAAUACAUUUACAUGUUUUGUAUUUUGCCAAUGUAUGCACAGUAAUGUCACGUGUCUGCGUUAACCCAGUAAUGUAGGCUACAGUAGAUUAUUUCUGUGUACCGUGUUGUUGAAUUGUGAUCGCUAUUUGCCUGCUUGACUGUGUGUUCGCUUAACGCCUUGGAUUCAUUGUGUAAUAAAAGUUGUAUUGUUUA